rnacentral:rRNA from 1 species
UACAGAGACUGCGAGCGUUAUUCGGAUUCACUGGGCGUAAAGGGUGCGCAGGUGGCCAAGUGUGUUAGGCGUGAAAGCCCGGGGCUUAACCCCGGAAUUGCACCUAAAACUACAUGGCUAGAGCAUUGGAGAGGGGAGCAGAAUUCACGGUGUAGCAGUGAAAUGCGUAGAUAUCGUGAGGAAUACCAGAGGCGAAGGCGGCUCCCUGGACAAUUGCUGACACUCAGGCACGAAAGCGUGGGGAGCAAAAGGG